GAGUUUGAUCCUGGCUCAGGAUGAACGCUGGCGGCGUGCCUAACACAUGCAAGUCGAGCGAUCUUCUUCGGAAGAGAGCGGCGGACGGGUGAGUAACGCGUGGGUAACCUGCCCUGUACACACGGAUAACAUACCGAAAGGUAUGCUAAUACGGGAUAACAUAAGAAAUUCGCAUGUUUUUCUUAUCAAAGCUCCGGCGGUACAGGAUGGACCCGCGUCUGAUUAGCUAGUUGGUGAGGUAACGGCUCACCAAGGCGACGAUCAGUAGCCGACCUGAGAGGGUGAUCGGCCACAUUGGAACUGAGACACGGUCCAAACUCCUACGGGAGGCAGCAGUGGGGAAUAUUGCACAAUGGGCGAAAGCCUGAUGCAGCAACGCCGCGUGAGCGAUGAAGGCCUUCGGGUCGUAAAGCUCUGUCCUCAAGGAAGAUAAUGACGGUACUUGAGGAGGAAGCCCCGGCUAACUACGUGCCAGCCGCCGCGGUAAUAC
rnacentral:rRNA from 1 species